UACGUAGGGUGCGAGCGUUAAUCGGAAUUACUGGGCGUAAAGCGUGCGCAGGCGGUUCGCUGUGUCCGAUGUGAAAGCCCCGGGCUUAACCUGGGAAUGGCAUUGGAAACUGGCGGGCUUGAGUGCGGCAGAGGGGGGUGGAACUGCGAGUGUAGAGGUGAAAUUCGUAGAUAUUCGCAAGAACACCAGUGGCGAAGGCGGCCGACUGGUCCGGUUCUGACGCUGAGGCGCGAAAGCGUGGGGAGCAAACAGG
rnacentral:rRNA from 1 species